CGUCAUCGUCUGUCGGGUUAGGGCUAGGAGAUUCAGAAGUGCGAUAAUGUUCUGUAUCGUUCUGUUCGAUGCGCCGACAGCCCUCGUUUCACUUGAGCGUGUGACGGCGUUUCCAGCUUUUCUAGCCAGUCAGAGGCGAAGGAGGCGGGACCUUUCCCGCAUCCUCGCCUUCUGGACAGUUUCUUCAGUGUUUCCUCUUGGUUCCGGUCUAAGUUUUUCUGGACUUAUAAAAUGUUCUAUGAAACUUCAUGAAACUUUCUCCCAGGACUUUCUGUUAAUUAAUCACCUGUGGUCUAGAUUUUGGCUCCUCCCCUCUGACAGUAUUCGUUUCUCUCUCUGCUAAUGGAAGUCCAAAUUUGGUCGACUCAAGACAAUAACAGAUCAAAUUUCCCUCUGGGAUUGAUAAAGUACCUACCUAACCUAACUAACUAACUAACUAACAGUGUGUCCAUUAAUGAUAAGGUCAAUAUUUACACACAUACCUUCACAAUGGGAUGUAUCCCACACAGAGUGCUGAUUGGCUGAUCAAGAGUUCCACUUUGGGGCUGAUUGGUUGAUCAAGAGUGUUUCUGACAGAAGGUUGUGUGUGACGAUGCCAAACUAAUCAGAGUGGAUGGAAACAAAAGAAAACAGCAGCUUCAUCCACCCACUACCAAAAAAAAGUUGUUGUUGGUCCUGGAGGGAAAAAGUCAUUUCUGUCAGAGUGAAAAACUAGGAUCAUUUUCUAUUUUUUGACCAGUCAGGAAACUCACAGUAGGAUCCAUCAGUGAGGCUAAAUGAAGAACGUCAGCUCUAAGAGUCCAUUUUUUAGGUCCCUGAAGCUCUGAAGGGUUACAGCAAGUAUGAAAAACAGGUUAAUAUAAUCUCUCUAUUCACACCUGUGUUUUUUGAAGGUCUCCUGUAAAACAUUCAUCUGUUUGUCGGGGGGUCGGGAUCCAUUCGAUCAAUCCCGAGGUCAACCGCCGUGAAAACUCGACCACAAAUUGAUCCCAGUAACCUUGAUUCAGCUGGUGUAGCCUUCAUGUGUUAAACGCCUCACUGUUCAAUAGACGAUCGAGCCUCUGAAGGUCCACGUUCGUCUCGUUAAAAACAAAAGUGACGAGUAUUAAAAGGGACCCGCGCAGAGGAGAUAGUGUUGGAUUAAAAGGCGGUACGAGGAAGUGUUCUCGAGGCGGCUCGCUCAGGGAGCGGUGCAACCACUUCGCCUCCUUCGAUGAUUUAUUAUACAUAAGACAUAAUGAAUGUUUGUAGCAUUUCCAGGCCAUUUGCCCGCUAAAGACGGCCUCUUUAACUAGCAGGUAGCUUGAAUUGUUUGAUGAUAGUUAUCAAUUAUGAAUGAAAUUUACUGCCUCUUAUUAAGAGUGCUGGAAUAAUUCAUUGGAUUCACCUGAGUGAUUGAUGUGUUGGAGCGGACCUGCAGUCCAUCAACCCAGCGUGAGGCUGACUCUUUCACGGCCUCGCAGUGGAGGACAGUGUUGACUUAACAGAAAUACGGUCCGCCGGGUCGGCCUUUUAAAUCUGACAGGUGAAAUCUGACCCCCCCGCCGCCUCAGGACCAACAACACUGUUCUUGAAUGUCUUCUUCACCGUGUUCCUGAUUAGUUUGGUUUUCAAAGAUAAGGACAUGAGAUGGUGAUCGACCUCCAUGAUUAAGUCUCCGUGUCGAUGUGAGGUGAAGCUGCAACCUGCUGAAGCGUCUAACGCCCUGAUGUUCCCUCCUUUUUAGUGUAAAAUCGAACGUUACACGCUGUUCUUGGCAUCACGGGGUUUCUUUCUUACUCGUGUAUUGACGAGAGAAAUCUUUUCAGCCGCCUUCAACAAAAGGAUGUUUUUCAAGGGGAUCGAGGUCUUAGAGGAACUCAGCGUCCAAGUUCUUAAUUUAGACCCAGGAUGUUAUUCUGUCCCCUAUCGAGUCCUGACAAAGGAGAUCAUACUUAGACAUUUUAGAUAGUCUAUCUCAGAGCUUUUCUGAUUGGUCAAGUAUUGAAGUGGUUUGACCCUCCAGAAGUGAUGCUGGGUUACGGGUCCUCUUCUUCUUCAGGCAUCAUGGGAGCUAAAGAAUCAGUCAGGAGCCGUCAUUAGGAGCUAAAGUAGUUUGUUCAAGUCAGAAGUUUACAGGAGUUUUCAACAGAAACAUUAUCAGCUACUUAUCGUCUGUUUUUAUCCUCAGCCUCAACCCCCUCUCAAUAGUUAACCAGACUGCAGGAAGUGAGUGAGUUUAUAACACAGGUCCAUAAUAAAACCCAAGACAAGCUGAAGACCUUCAACUCAUAUACCCGAGUUAAACCACCUGUACUCAGGUAGAUGAGCUGCAGUCUGUUUUAGUCUUUAGUGGCACAGUCCCCCUUGGAAUCUGAUGGGUCAUCCCAAGUGGCUCCCAAAAAUCCUGGUAGUAGUUUUCAGUCCCAGGAGUAGUUUUCAUUACUACACAUUUACAGACUGAAUUUUACUGACAUUGACUCUUAUUAGUUUCUUCUGGGUUUUUAAUUUCUACGUUUUUAACUGUGCAGAGAAAGUGAAGGAACAUAA
rnacentral:lncRNA from 1 species